GGAUACCUUGGCAUUCAGAGGCGAAGAAGGACGCGGUUACCGGCGAAACGUUUCGGGGAGCUGGAAACAAGCUAUGAUCCGGAAAUAUCCGAAUGAGGCAACUCUAUAUACUGGUUGUUGAAUUUAUAAACAACAAAGAGCGAACCUGGUGAAUUGAAACAUCUUAGUAACCAGAGGAAAAGAAAGUAAAAACGAUUUCCUAAGUAGCGGCGAGCGAAACGGAAGAAGCCUAAA
rnacentral:rRNA from 1 species